CCUCAUCUUUCUUUGGGUGGCUAACUCCAUAAGCUGUUUGGCUAUCAGAUCAUACUGCAUGCCUUCCUUUAUAGCCUCUCGGAUGUCCCAACUUGCUGAAGUGAUGGUAGCAAGCUCAUCUUUCUGACUCAAAACAUCGGCCAUGACAUUACCUUUGCUCGGUUUAUACUCCAACUCAAUCUUGUGAUCCACCUCAUGCCUAGGAGGAAAGUGCUUAGGUAGCUCGUCGGGCAUAACAUCUUUGUUCUCUUCGAGCAAAUUAUCUAUCCAAGGUGGCGGUGUCUCUUGGGUACUAUGGUCUUCCUCCAAACUCGCAAUGGUUGCCAUGAAUGUCGGCUCCCCUUUCUGGAGCCCUUUGAUAAGCUGCAUAGCUGAAAGUUAUGCUUGGCCCUGUGCAUGCAACAUAGUCACUGUAGGCACCAUGCAAGCUCCUUCUCACUCCAAGACCAAGAGACGUUGGAGGUAGGGGUCGAUCAUCGUGUGGCAAUGUCUAAAGAACUCUUACCCAGAACAAUGUCAAAGAUAUCUAUAGUAGUGGCAGUAAAAUUUGUCAUACCUAUACAAUCGCCCAAUUUGACACCAACACCAUUGCCUACACCACGAGCAUUUUCUGGCUUAGCAUUCACGGUCUUGAUGUGGGCGUUCAUUGGAGCGAACUUCAAGUCUCGUCUCUUCGCUGCGGCCUUGGUCACAAAAUUGUGAGUCGCUCCAGUGUCCACUAGAGCAUGAACGAGCUUGUUGUUGAUGGUAAGGUCCGCGUAUUGAUUUCUAUUCUCUCUAGGCUGGAUAGCUUGCUUCUUGACAGCUCCAGAUAGUCUGAUUGUCUCCAACUGUGCAGUUCCUGGAAUCUGUCCUUGAGCCUGCUAGUUCCUUUCAUGCACUAUAGUGCUGAGGCUCUUUAGGUCUGGGAAAUUUCUUUUCAGCAUAGCCCUGACGACCACUUGACUUCUUGUUGUCGAACUUGUUGGCACUGUGAGUCUUGGAGUAUUAUUGUUGCGACUCCUUGAUCUCGCCACGGUCUCCCCCACCUUUGACAUUGCUACCUCUUAACUUAUAGUCUUGGCCUUUGUCAUGCUUGUCAUGCUUGAAGUCCAUCAAAGACUCGGCCUCCACUAUUACUUGGUCUCACUACUAAAAAAAAGGGCAUUUUCGACCAAAAGAUUUCGACCACAAUUUUGGUCGGAAAAAAAUCGACCACAAGUGGUCGAAAUUUGGAGAAUUUAAUUUUUAUUAAACUUUUUAUAGGAUUUCGACCACACUGGGUCGAUUUUUUAACUGGAAAAGUGAAUUUCGACCACGUGUGGUCGAAAUUAUUUUUUGUACAAAUAAUAAAUGGGAAAAAAAUAUUUUAUACAUAAUUAAAUUAUAUAAAUAUAAAAAAAUUAAUUAAAAAAUAAAAAUAAAAAACUAAUUUCGACCGCAUGUGGUCGAAAAUUUGAACAGAUUUUUUUUAGUCCCCAUUGGGUCUCUUUUCGUUUUAUUUUUGCUCCUUCUCUUUCUCUUUUUCUCCUCUCUCCCUCUCCUCUCUCUACGCCUCCCCCCACCCGUCGACGCUUAACUCGCAACCACCUCAUUUCCCGACCAGCAGCGUCUCCACCGCCGUUUUCGAGCAGCAGUUAGUGUGAGUGAAGUUGAAGCAUUAUUUGAGCUGUUCAAGAAUAUUAGCAGUUCCGUAAUAGAUGCCGGGCUAAUAAGCAAGCUUUGCAAAAGCUUUUGUUUAGCUUAUCGAAAGCUUGCAAGGAGUUACUAUUGUGAACAAGUGAGUAUGAUCCCUGAAAUCCUAUAAUGUGAUGCUUUUUUUUGCUGUGGUGUUAUUGUUGAAAGAUGGUAUAAAAUUAUUUGGCUUUUCUCUAUCUUUAAAUUACUUCUGUAUUUUGGUAAGAGCCAUAAUGGUUACCUACUCAAGAUCAGAUGAUUGCAUUCUUCUGCUGAUUUUUCUUAUACUUCCUGGAAAUAUGAGAUGUGCUGCUUUCUACUAUGAUCUUAUUGUGAAAUAUGAUGUAGAGUAGUACAUAGUUAGCUUCUCUAGAUUUAAAUUUUCUUUUGUAUCUUGUUGUACCUGCUCAAGAUUAGAUGGUUGGCCUCUUUACUAAUUUUCUUUUUUUCUUCUUUUGUGUGGAGAAUAAUAGUAGAAAGUGAAGGUUAUGGGGGGAAGAUGGAUGAAGAUUUUGGAGUGGACAUGUGAAACUGUGAAUUUACCAUGUUAUUAGCAUAUCUUCUUUAGAAAGAAAACUUAAUCGAGUUUAUAUUUUUAUUUUCGAGUGGAUAAAUAAUGAAAAUACUACAAGUUGCUGACACGAGGAAUUGCCAUGGUAUUUUCUCACCUUCUUUGAAAAGCCACGUUAUUUGAGUCCUUACAACAACUCUUUACAUUUCUGUACAUGUAAAUAUGUUUUAUUAACAAGUUUUUUACCAUAAAGUUUGUGUGCUUUCUGUGGUAUGUUUGAAAUACAUGAAAAUUAUCAGAACAUCUUCAUAUGAUUUCAUUCAUGAAUUCUAUGAGUUAUUCUUUUAAUUAGUAAAAAGGAAAAGGGGGAGGGGGGGGGGGGGGGGGGGGAGGGGGUGGUUGCACUAACAAUUGACUGAUUACCAAAGAAAUGGCAAAACAUCUUCUUCUUUUUUCCCACUAUGGAGCAUUUUACCGGAAAGAUCACACCAGCUAUUGAAAAGUAUUCUAUAAGAAUAGACAUAAGAUGGUUGGGAUAGCUAUUAAGUGUUUAUUAGUUGAAACUCACAAGCUUUAGUUUCCUAUGGACAUAUAUAAGUAUAUAUUAACAUGGAAGAUUAAUUGUCAUUGUUAAUCAAUAUUGCAAGCACUUCUUAUGGCAUUUAAUUUUUUACAAUAGGUUUUGUCGACUGAUGAGAAAUGUUCCAUAUGUGAUAAAUAUGGGGAGGCUGGUCUUAAAGAAGCUGGCAUGGGUAUGGGGUGAGACUUUCUUACUGUAUAAGAAAAUAUAGCAAUAGUUUCAGAGGGUUAUCAUACCUAUAUAAGGCACUUUAAUAAUAGUUUCAGAGGGUUCUUUUCAUUAGAUAAUUUAAUAAUUAUCUAAUGAAAAGAAUGAACAACAGAAGAUGCAUUGGCUAAAAAAAUCAUUUGUAUCUUGUUAAUUGUUUCUUAUACAAUUUUAGUUAUCAUAUUCAAAUUUGUAGGAUAAACUAUAGUUAGCUACAUAAAUCUAUUGAUGUUCACCUUAUCUACUCUUCUUUUUUCUAUUUCUAUCCUUUUUUUCUAUAUGGAGCUUCUACAGACCAUAUUUUGCAGGCCUAUUAAAAUUACCAAAAUUUGUGGUGUCAAGUGUUUCACAAUUUGUCGAAGAGACAAAUCCUAAAUACCAAAUUUUGUCCUUGUAGGUCAGUUCAAGAGGACUGAACUGUUAUGAUGAGAUCGGGUCGCAACUAAAAAUAUGAAACAGCAUUGGUGAAGAGUAUUGCUUUUCUUGGUAUAGACAUUUUUGGAAGCAGACUCAAAUCAGGACGGAAAGAUUGACAAAUCUGAAUGGCACAAUUUUGUGGGCCGAAAUCCUUCAUUAUUAAAGAUAAUGACUCUUUCGUAUCUAAGGAGUAUGAAGCUAUGAAGCAUCAAAUUGCUUAGGUAACAAGAACACUUAAUUCCUCGGAGGCUAGGAUGUUGGGUAUGCAAGCCCAAAUUAAUAGUUUAUGAUGGAUAUGUUUAAAUGGAUAUGUAUAUUAUCUUUAAGCGUUUGAAUGUAGUUUUAGUUCGAAUUAGAAGUACUUUUAAGUUUAUAAUGUUUAAGUGUUUGAAUGAUGUUUAUGAUGUUUAAGUGUUUGAAUGUAGUUUAUGAUAUUUAAGUGUUUGAAUGUAGUUUUAAUUUUAAGUACUUUGAGGUUGAAUUUGAUUGUUUAUAAGUGUUUGAAUGGACAAUGUUUAAGUGUUCAAGUGUUUGAACAUUGUUUAUGGUUGUUGUGUUGCAUUGUUGAUGAAAUGGAUGACUGUUUUGGUUGA